rnacentral:rRNA from 1 species
ACGGUAACAGGUCUUCCGGAUGCUGACGAGUGGGCGGACGGGUGAGUAAUGCGUAGGAAUCUGUCUUUGAGUGGGGGACAACCCAGGGAAACUUGGGCUAAUACCGCAUAAGCCCUGAGGGGGAAAGCGGGGGAUCUUCGGACCUCGCGCUGGAAGAGGAGCCUACGUCUGAUUAGCUAGUUGGUAGGGUAAAGGCCUACCAAGGCGACGAUCGGUAGCUGGUCUGAGAGGACGACCAGCCACACUGGGACUGAGACACGGCCCAGACUCCUACGGGAGGCAGCAGUGGGGAAUUUUUCGCAAUGGGGGCAACCCUGACGAGGCAAUGCCGCGUGAAUGAAGAAGGCCUUCGGGUUGUAAAGUUCUUUCGUGGAGGACGAAAAGGUGGGUGCUAAUACCGCCUGCUGUUGACGUGAAUCCAAGAAGAAGCACCGGCUAACUCCGUGCCAGCAGCCGCGGUAAUACGGGGGGUGCAAGCGUUAAUCGGAAUCACUGGGCGUAAAGGGUGCGUAGGCGGUGCAUUAGGUCUGUCGUGAAAUCCCCGGGCUCAACCUGGGAAUGGCGGUGGAAACCGGUGUACUAGAGUAUGGGAGAGGGUGGUGGGAAUUCC